AGAAAACCAAAAAAUAGAGAGGAGCAAGAGAACAGUCUGGGAGGAUGCUGCACUGGGAGGGCUUCCCCUUGGGCAUCUCUUCAUCAUGUAAACCACAGUCAAACUCCGGAGACAGUAAAAUGCACAAACGUGCUGGGUUACACCCACGUGAGGGAGUGUGUGCAGCAAUGACGGACGCCGGGGCCCACAGACGUCAUGGGGAGAGGAAGGAGCUACCCAUGAAAGAGUCUGCGGUAUCGCUGUGGCAGCGUGGCCACUAGAAAGGGAGCA
rnacentral:lncRNA from 1 species